UACGGAGGGUGCAAGCGUUGUCCGGAUUUAUUGGGUUUAAAGGGUGCGUAGGCUGGAAGGUCAGUCAGCGGUGAAAAGCAAACGCUCAACGAUUGUCUUGCCGCAGAUACUUCCUUUCUUGGAUUAGGUGGAGGUCACCGGAACGGAUGGUGUAGCGGUGAAAUGCAUAGAUAUCAUCCAGAACGCCAAUUGCGAAGGCAGGUGACUGUACCUAAAUCGACGCUGAUGCACGAAAGCAUGGGGAGCGAAC
rnacentral:rRNA from 1 species